rnacentral:rRNA from 1 species
UCUUAAACAUGCAAGUCGAGCGGAGUAGCAAUACUUAGCGGCGAACGGGUGAGUAACACGUGGGUAAUCUUCCUCCGAAUCUGGGAUAACUUUCCGAAAGGAAAGCUAAUACCGGAUAGUUCUAUUGGAUCACAGGAUUUGAUAGAUAAAGGUUUACUGUUCGGAGAUGAGCCCGCGGCCGAUUAGCUAGUUGGUGAGGUAAUGGCUCACCAAGGCGACGAUCGGUAGCCGGCCUGAGAGGGUGUCCGGCCACAAUGGAACUGAGACACGGUCCAUACUCCUACGGGAGGCAGCAGUUAAGAAUCUUGCUCA